GGGAUAACACUUGGAAACAGGUGCUAAUACCGUAUAACACUAUUUUCCGCAUGGAAGAAAGUUGAAAGGCGCUUUUGCGUCACUGAUGGAUGGACCCGCGGUGCAUUAGCUAGUUGGUGAGGUAACGGCUCACCAAGGCCACGAUGCAUAGCCGACCUGAGAGGGUGAUCGGCCACACUGGGACUGAGACACGGCCCAGACUCCUACGGGAGGCAGCAGUAGGGAAUCUUCGGCAAUGGACGAAAGUCUGACCGAGCAACGCCGCGUGAGUGAAGAAGGUUUUCGGAUCGUAAAACUCUGUUGUUAGAGAAGAACAAGGAUGAGAGUAAAAUGUUCAUCCCUUGACGGUAUCUAACCAGAAAGCCACGGCUAACUACGUGCCAGCAGCCGCGGUAAUACGUAGGUGGCAAGCGUUGUCCGGAUUUAUUGGGCGUAAAGCGAGCGCAGGCGGUUUCUUAAGUCUGAUGUGAAAGCCCCCGGCUCAACCGGGGAGGGUCAUUGGAAACUGGGAGACUUGAGUGCAGAAGAGGAGAGUGGAAUUCCAUGUGUAGCGGUGAAAUGCGUAGAUAUAUGGAGGAACACCAGUGGCGAAGGCGGCUCUCUGGUCUGUAACUGACGCUGAGGCUCGAAAGCGUGGGGAGCGAACAGGAUUAGAUACCCU
rnacentral:rRNA from 1 species